rnacentral:rRNA from 1 species
UCUGGUGGCAAGAUCGUUGGGGUCACACCGGUUCCCAUUCCGAACACCGUAGUUAAGUCCGACAGAGCCGAUGAUACUGGGGCGUGACGCCUUGGGAAAGUAGGUCACCGCCAGAG